GCAGUCGAGCGCCCCGCAAGGGGAGCGGCAGACGGGUGAGUAACGCGUGGGAAUCUACCCUUGACUACGGAAUAACGCAGGGAAACUUGUGCUAAUACCGUAUGUGUCCUUCGGGAGAAAGAUUUAUCGGUCAAGGAUGAGCCCGCGUUGGAUUAGCUAGUUGGUGGGGUAAAGGCCUACCAAGGCGACGAUCCAUAGCUGGUCUGAGAGGAUGAUCAGCCACAUUGGGACUGAGACACGGCCCAAACUCCUACGGGAGGCAGCAGUGGGGAAUAUUGGACAAUGGGCGCAAGCCUGAUCCAGCCAUGCCGCGUGAGUGAUGAAGGCCCUAGGGUCGUAAAGCUCUUUCACCGGAGAAGAUAAUGACGGUAUCCGGAGAAGAAGCCCCGGCUAACUUCGUGCCAGCAGCCGCGGUAAUACGAAGGGGGCUAGCGUUGUUCGGAAUUACUGGGCGUAAAGCGCACGUAGGCGGAUCGAUCAGUCAGGGGUGAAAUCCCAGGGCUCAACCCUGGAACUGCCUUUGAUACUGUCGAUCUGGAGUAUGGAAGAGGUGAGUGGAAUUCCGAGUGUAGAGGUGAAAUUCGUAGAUAUUCGGAGGAACACCAGUGGCGAAGGCGGCUCACUGGGCCAUUACUGACGCUGAGGUG
rnacentral:rRNA from 1 species